rnacentral:misc_RNA from 1 species
UUUUAAAUAGAAAGAACUGCCAAAAAAAAACCCAUGAAAUCAGGGGAGGCGUUGACAAUUCAUACAGGGGAUUCAUUCAUCAAGAUUUGGGUUCAUAUUAAGCAAAGGAAAGUGAGGUUAUGAGAUUUCAAAAUGGGCCCUAUUAUCCAAAUCACUCAAACAGACAGGCAUGCACAUCCCAACCAAACAGUUGCUAGUUGAUGGGAUGCAUAGAGGGGAAAAAAAGCAAAGAAGAAGCUGCAAUGAACAAGAAAAGAGGGAACAAGAUGCAUGACAAUUUUCAAAUGGUUAACUUUUUCCCUCAAAAUUUUCAUGACGCACCAACAAUAAAACAAUUAAGACAAAGGGUGCAUCAAUUCCAACUAAACUAACCCAAAGUGCUAGAAUUCCAAAGUUUUGCAAUAGAAAAUUUUCUGAAUAAUA